CUGUACAGGUAAAGGCAGGAUGAAAUUGGAGCGAGACAGGGAAGAUUAGCAUGGCCCGUGCUCAAGGAUGACACGCACAAAUCGAGAAGUGUACCAAGAUUAG
rnacentral:snRNA from 1 species